rnacentral:rRNA from 1 species
CCUACGGGGGGCAGCAGUGGGGGAUAUUGCACAAUGGGGGAAACCCUGAUGCAGCGACGCCGCGUGUGGGAAGACGGUCCUCUGGAUUGUAAACCACUGUCCCCAGGGACGAAGAUGACGGUACCUGGGGAGGAAGCUCCGGCUAACUACGUGCCAGCAGCCGCGGUAAUACGUAGGGAGCGAGCGUUGUCCGGAAUUACUGGGUGUAAGGGGAGCGUAGGCGGGGAUGCAAGUUGGGUGUCAAAACUACCGGCUCAACUGGUAGUCGCACUCAAAACUGCAGCUCUUGAGUGAAGUAGAGGCAGGCGGAAUGCCUAGUGUAGCGGUGAAAUGCGUAGAUAUUAGGAGGAACACCAGUGGCGAAGGCGGCCUGCUGGCUUCCGACUGACGCUGAAGCACGAAAGCGUGGGGAUCGAACAGGAUUAGAUACCCGAGUAGUC